rnacentral:rRNA from 1 species
GACGAACGCUGGCGGCGUGCUUAACACAUGCAAGUCGAACGAAGUGGCGAACGGGUGAGUAACGCGUAAUCAACCUGCCCUUCAGAGGGGGACAACAGUUGGAAACGACUGCUAAUACCGCAUACUGAAGGUGGGGAUUGCGUCUGAUUAGCUAGUUGGAGGGGUAACGGCCCACCAAGGCGAUCAUCAGUAGCCGGACUGAGAGGAUGAACGGCCAAAAUGGGACUGGUACACGGCCCAGGAUCCUAAGGGAGGCCACAGUGGGGAAUCUUCCGCAAUGGACGAAAGUCUGACGGAGCAACGGCGCGUGAGUGAUGAAAGCCUUCGGGUUGUAAAGCUCUGUUAAUCGGGACGCGGUACCGGAAGAGAAAGCCACGGCUAACUACGUGCCAGCAGCCGCGGUAAUUC